CCUACGGGCGGCAGCAGUGGGGAAUAUUGGACAAUGGGGGGAACCCUGAUCCAGCCAUGCCGCGUGUGUGAAGAAGGCCCUCGGGUUGUAAAGCACUUUCAGUGAGGAAGAACGCCUGGUGGUUAAUACCCAUCAGGAAAGACAUCACUCACAGAAGAAGCACCGGCUAACUCCGUGCCAGCAGCCGCGGUAAUACGGAGGGUGCGAGCGUUAAUCGGAAUUACUGGGCGUAAAGCGCGCGUAGGUGGCUUGAUAAGCCGGUUGUGAAAGCCCCGGGCUCAACCUGGGAACGGCAUCCGGAACUGUCAAGCUAGAGUGCAGGAGAGGAAGGUAGAAUUCCCGGUGUAGCGGUGAACUGCGUCGAGAGCGGGAGGAAUACCAGUGGCGAAGGCGGCCUUCUGGACUGACACUGACACUGAGGUGCGAAAGCGUGGGUAGCAAACAGGAUUAGAUACCCGUGUAGUC
rnacentral:rRNA from 1 species